ACUCUUAUAAUUUAUCUUGUAGAAUAUUGCAUUGAAGCUGCAAAAGAAGUUAUUUAACUUGGGAGUG
rnacentral:tRNA from 1 species